rnacentral:rRNA from 1 species
GAUGAACGCUGGCGGCGUGCUUAACACAUGCAAGUCGAACGAAGCACUGUUGAUAGAUUCUUCGGAUGAUAGAUACAGUGACUGAGUGGCGGACGGGUGAGUAACGCGUGGGUAACCUGCCUCAUACUGGGGGAUAACAGUUAGAAAUGACUGCUAAUACCGCAUAAGCGCACAGGACCGCAUGGUCUGGUGUGAAAAACUCCGGUGGUAUGAGAUGGACCCGCGUCUGAUUAGCUAGUUGGUGGGGUAACGGCCCACCAAGGCGACGAUCAGUAGCCGACCUGAGAGGGUGACCGGCCACAUUGGGACUGAGACACGGCCCAAACUCCUACGGGAGGCAGCAGUGGGGAAUAUUGCACAAUGGGCGAAAGCCUGAUGCAGCGACGCCGCGUGAGCGAAGAAGUAUUUCGGUAUGUAAAGCUCUAUCAGCAGGGAAGAAAAUGACGGUACCUGACUAAGAAGCACCGGCUAAAUACGUGCCAGCCGCCGCAGUAAUAC